rnacentral:rRNA from 1 species
AUUGAACGCUGGCGGCAUGCCUUACACAUGCAAGCCGAACGGCAGCACGGACUUCGGUCUGGUGGCGAGUGGCGAACGGGUGAGUAAUAUAUCGGAACAUACCUUGUAGUGGGGGAUAACUAUCCGAAAGGAUAGCUAAUACCGCAUACGCUCUAAGGAGGAAAGUGGGGGAUCGCAAGACCUCAUGCUAUAAGAGUGGCCGAUAUCUGAUUAGCUAGUUGGUGAGGUAAAGGCUCACCAAGGCAACGAUCAGUAGCUGGUCUGAGAGGACGACCAGCGACACUUGAACUGAGACACGGGCCAGACUCCAACGGGAGGCAGCAGUGGGGAAUUUUGGACAAUGGGGGCAACCCUGAUACAGUAAUGCCGCGUGAGUGAAGAAGGCCUUCGGGUUGUAAAGCGCUGUUGUCAGGGAAGAAACGGUUGUGGCUAAUAUCCUGGGCUAAUGACGGUACCGGAAGAAUAAGCACCGGCUAACUACGUGCCAGCAGCCGCGGUAACAC